UUUCCAUAGGAACAUACUAAAUAUAGCAUCCUUCAAUGAAGCCUUGUAUCCUAAGUCAAUAACAGCGAGAGCAACUGUUCUGCUUGCCUUGUUGGAAGUUGGCAACACUGUCCCUGUGCUUGGAGGUUGUUUAGACAACCAGCAGCUCUGUCAAAUUCAUUUUCAACAGAGUUCACAGAUCAAACGACGGUGGUCCAAAGUCUUGUGUUCUCAAAUAUUUGAAAGAAUUGGAAGAACCAGGAGAACUUGUGGAUUAAAAUAUGACCGGCCUACCCUUGAAAAGGGGUUAGACUCUGCGUUCCGUAGGUGAACCUGCGGAAGGAUCAUUACAGAGUUCAUGCCCUAACGGGUAGAUCUCCCACCCUUGAAUAUUUAUACCUUAGUUGCUUUGGCAGGCCGUGGAAACACCAUGGGCUCCGGCUUAUGCGUGCCUGCCAGAGGAAACAAACUCUGUUUUUAGUGAUGUCUGAGUACUAUAUAAUAGUUAAAACUUUCAACAACGGAUCUCUUGGUUCUG
rnacentral:misc_RNA from 1 species